rnacentral:rRNA from 1 species
UUGGAGGGCAAGUCUGGUGCCAGCAGCCGCGGUAAUUCCGCUCCAAUAGCGUAUAUUAAAGUUGUUGCAGUUAAAAAGCUCGUAGUUGAAUUUCGGGAUUGACACAUCGGUCGUGCCUUAAGGGGUAUGAACUGGUGUAGUCAAUUUCUCACCUUCUGGAGAACCGCGAUGCCCUUAAUUGGGUGUCGCGGGGAACCAGGACCUUUACUUUGAAAAAAUUAGAGUGUUUAAAGCAGGCAUUUUGCUUGAAUACAUUAGCAUGGAAUAAUAAAAUAGGACGGCAUGAUUCUAUUUUGUUGGUUUCUAGGAUCCCCGUAAUGAUUAAUAGGGAUAGUUGGGGGCAUUAGUAUUCAAUUGUCAGAGGUGAAAUUCUUGGAUUUAUUGAAGACUAACUACUGCGAAAGCAUUUGCCAAGGAUGUUUUCAUUAAUCAAGAACGAAAGUUAGGGGAUCGAAGACGAUCAGAUCCCGUCGUAGUCUUACCCAUAAACUAUGCCGACUAGGAAUCAGACGAUGUUAUUUUUUAAUGACUCAUUCGGCGCCUUACGGGAAAC